UACGUAGGGUGCAAGCGUUGCCCGGAUUUAUUGGGCGUAAAGGGCGCGUAGGCGGCUCGGCACGUCCGUUGUGAAAUCGCCCGGCUCAACUGGGCGGGGUCAGCGGAUACGGCCGAGCUUGAGCAAGCUAGGGGGCAAUGGAAUUCCCGGUGUAGUGGUGGAAUGCGUAGAUAUCGGGAGGAACACCGGUGGCGAAGGCGGCCAGCUGGCGCUGACCUGACGCUGAGGCGCGAAGGCGUGGGGAGCGAACGGG
rnacentral:rRNA from 1 species